CCUCCUCCGUCCCCUGUCCCCGCCCCUGUGGCAGGGCCCGGCGGGGGGGCUGGGCCCGGCCCCUGUCCCGCCGGGCGGGACGGGAAGGGGCGGUGGCGGCGGCCGGGAGCGGGCCCGCUGCAAGUUUCGCCCGGAGUGGGAAAGUUGGGCCCCGGCAGGACCCGGCCGGGUGAGCUGGAAUCCCCUUCCCUAGCCCUGAAGUCAGAUUUGAUGUUCAAGCCACAUUUGCAGGACUUUCUAAUGUGCGUGCCCUUUGGCAUGUCGGUGUCGGUUUCUGUGUUUCUUGAGCAGUUCGGGGCUUCCACAGUGGCUUGGCUGGGACAUUUAUGCUGGUACAACUUCAAGACAUUUAAGAGUACAUUGGAGUGAACUGGCAGGAAGCCUUUCAGCACCGCAGUGGCAAUAACACUGGCUGUCCUCUGGAGAUGCUGAAGCUCAGCUUUAUUUUCAACUUCUUUCUUACGCUUCCCGACUUGCGCACAAAGGGCUUAACAUUGAUUGGCAUUCAUACAGUAUAAAAUAGCCAUGGUUAUGGUUUUUUUUCCUCCCUUUAUUUGACACCUG
rnacentral:lncRNA from 1 species